CGAAAUGCGAUAACUAGUGUGAAUUGCAGAAUUCCGUGAAUCAUCGAGUCUUUGAACGCACAUUGCGCCCCCUGGUAUUCCGGGGGGCAUGCCUGUCCGAGCGUCAUUGCUGCCCAUCAAGCACGGCUUGUGUGUUGGGUCGUCGUCCCCUCUCCGGGGGGGACGGGCCCCAAAGGCAGCGGCGGCACCGCGUCCGAUCCUCGAGCGUAUGGGGCUUUGUCACCCGCUCUGUAGGCCCGGCCGGCGCUUGCCGAACGCAAAUCAAUCUUUUUCCAGGUUGACCUCGGAUCAGGUAGGGAUACCCGCUGAACUUAAGC
rnacentral:misc_RNA from 1 species